rnacentral:lncRNA from 1 species
GGGAUUACACGUAGGGCACGCGGCCCUACGGCUACACUCAUCCCACGAGCCGUAACAAGGCCUUUUGCCCAUGCAGCAGUAGCAGUCAUACUUCCCACAAGAAAAUAACGAACAAAAUUUCAAGUAGACAUUGCUCUGAUCUAACGAGGAUUCGUUGUCGACCGUAGGUACGAUUUUUUUGACAGCUUCUUGAAUCUCCAUCCUCUAGUAGUCUUGAAGAACCUAUAUGAUUAUUUUGCCCAUCAAUAAAUGAUAUAUAUGCAUAUUUAUCAAAUAUGUGUAAAAACAACUAGAGGCACCAAAUUAGUCCUAGAAGUAGGAAAAUAGAAGACAUAAACGGAAAAUUAUGGCCCUAUUUGGUACAUCGGUGGGGGAGAGGUGCUUCUCAAAUAAGCUGCGCAAAAUGAAAGAAGCGCUUCCCUGAGAAGCGAAUUCGAUCCAACUUCUGCGUUUUAGUACAAAUGGGAGCACGGCUGCUAGUUUUAACUUAUUUUGACCAUAUAAGCAGGAUUUAAGCUAUUCCAAACGCGGCCCAUAGAAACUCUAGUAAAUAGAGGGGAAAAAAUCAUGUGUUUCUUUUGAUGGAGUCCUACUGUAAUACAAACUGCAAUCAUUGAUCAUGUUCAAGCAUCUGAACAGCUUCUCGAUCUCUCUCCCUCUCCCCCUUAUGGGAAUGCCGUUUCGUCAGGUAGAUGUAGCUGCGGUGGUGGAUGUACUACUUGUGUUUUCGCAAAGGCAAAGUAUGGAUCUUUUCCCCUUGCUAGGCCCAUAGCUUGCUAAUAAGAGCGUCGUCUCCAGCUAUUUACCUGUAUCUGGAGACCUAAAAACAAGGCAACGUUGCCGUGGAAGGUACCCAUUAUUCUAAACUGAUGUGUUCUGAAUUGCGAGCCUACUCAAAAUCAAAAGGCAACGUGUGGUUAUUGAAGGCAUAAACCAAUUAUGCAUUUUUAUGCAAAUAUCUACCUGUUCACCACGUCCCUUGAAUCCUUGAUGAUGUGCACUGAUCGUAUAUAUGCGUACAUGAGUCCAUGACACGUCAUUAACUCUAGCAUAACAACGUUAACUAUAGAACAUAUAUCACAAUGUGCACGGUGCCUGUAUUCUUACAAGGCGCUAGGCACCCGAACACAACGAACACGAUGAAUACCAUGGAGACUGGGCUGCUGACGUUGCUCCUCGUCAUGUUUGAUCUCUCACCGGAGAGGAAGAAGAAAGGGGUUCUGAGCUUUGGUGUGGAGAGAGCAGAGGACAUGGCAUCAGUUUAUAGCCCAGAGGUUUGGUCCGGCUCCGGCAGUGGAGUGGCUCGGGGCGGCCGGGCGGCAGCACUGUUCGGUGGUGCCGGCCGGGACCCGGGUGCGUGGUGCAGCAUCGCGUCGACGUGCGCACUGUGCGCAGGACGGCCCGAGGACGGGGGUUUUCGUGGGUGACGAAGGGCACAGUGACAGGAGCGCUGCAUGGCGCGGGGGCGGUGGUUUUGCUUAGCUUGCCUGCCUGGGAUUGGAAUGGUGAGAGAGGACCGAGACGUACCCGUCUUCCAUGGAGUGGAUCGGAGGAUUGGCUCGCUGCGGUCGGUGCAAGGGCGUGAUGAGGCUUGGGGCGGAGUCGUGAGCCGCGUAAGGCCGUUCGCAGGACGGAGUGGGCUCCGGGCCGGUACGGUGGCGUUAAAAGUUGCUACGGGAGCGGCGAAGCGACGGCCGGAUGGGGAAAGAACGGGUGCCGCGACAGCGGGUACAAGAACGCUGACCUCGCCUCGGUUAGGGACGGAGUGUGCGUAAAGCAUAAUCAAGGUUGGAGAUCUUCGUCCAUGGCGAGGAGACCGGGAGGACUGCAGGCGUAGGAGAUGACAGACGAAGAGACCGGGCGUAGGAGAGGACAGAGAUGAGCAUCGCCGGGCCGUGUACAGCAGCAGGGGCCGACUGCCGAGGCCCACCCGAGAUGGACGUCUAGGCAGCCCAUCGUGGUUGCAGUCCAGCCCAACAUGGCGGCCCAGACUGCCCAACCAUACAACGGCUCGGCCCUGCAAGAUGGAAUCACUGUCCAUUUCGCACGGGUUCGCUCGAACAGGGAACACAUCACACGCUGCGGAGCGCACGACCAGAUGGCGGCGGUGCUUCCCCGAGCAGCCGCCCGCGCCAAGCGAUCCGGCGGCUCCGGCAUGCCCCUCCGCUCCGUCCUCGUGGGCCGCGGCCCCUUCUCGUCAGAGGCCGCGACGACCCCGCCCCCCGCGGCCGCGGCGGCUACGGGCGAGGAGGAUGGCGACGACCUGCGCAGCCGCAUCUUCCGGCUGGGCCUGGCGAAGCGGAGCGCGACGGCGGCGCUCGAGAGGUGGUCCGGAGAGGGACGCGCCGCCCCCGCGGAGGAGCUCCGCCGCAUCGCGCGCGACCUCAGCCGCGUCCGCCGGUACAAGCACGCCCUCGAGGUUCGGUCCCCGCCCGCAGAACCAUUGACCCCUUCCAAUUGCUCUGCCUGCCUCUGCCUGCAAGGAUUUAGUGCGUUGUCCGUGCAGCGAGCGCUCUUGUGGAGCGCUCUGAUGUGAUAUGUUCCUUUGUUCUGGAAAUGGUUAUGACGUGCACGCGAUGUAGGUUUAUCUAGCUGGAUAAUUAAGAUUGUGUGGUAGCCUGAUUGCAGACUUAUACUGUCGCGGCAGAUGCAUCUGUCUCCUUAAACAGGUCGAGGUUUUAUAAGUAGGUUUUGCUGUGGGUUAGUUUAAACAAUUGACAGGAAUUUGAUGCUACAUAUUGCCAUAUUGGGCACUAUUACUCUAGGUCUAGGAAGCUUUAGCAUUUCAAUUGUAUUUGUGUUAGCUUCCUUCCUUGUUGGCUGUUACUGAUUAGGGUGGCUAUGAAGAUGAGCAUCUAGUCUUAAGACUUCGGUAUGAUGGCAGAGGCUACAGCUAUGAUCUUAUAACUAGGAAACAACAUUUCGUCAAUUGAAUUUAUCUUUGUAUUUGUUGUGCCAUUUUAAUGCUAAUUGGUAUUAGCUAUCAUGUUUUUUUGGCAACAUAAUAGCCAAAUGGGUUUGUGUCAUGAUCUUAUAUGGUAACUUUUGCUAACCCUGAAAAAGAAACCUCUUCCAGACUGUUACCUCGCUGUAGGUGCACAUAUUCAUUCCCUUGUUUUAUUUGGUUGUUUCUGCUGAUACUCUAGCAAAGGGUUCUGUUUUGUCAAUUGUUGCUAUCUUUCCCCCUUCUAGAAAAAAAUUUGCAAAUUGCAGCAUCAGUUAUUAACUGCACAUUUUACAGGUAGCGGACUGGAUGAAGACACAUCACGAAUCUGAUUUAUCUGAGAGUGACUAUGGAAUGCGCAUUGACUUGAUUACCAGAGUUUUUGGUGCCAAUGCGGCUGAAGAUUUCUUUGAGAAGCUUCCACCUGAAGCUAAAUCUCUACAAGCCUAUACAGCACUUCUGCAUUCCUAUGCCCGAUCAAAGAUGACAGACAAAGCUGAAAGGCUGUUUGGCAGAAUGAAGGAUGCAAACCUGUCUAUGGAUGUCCUGGUUUACAAUGAAAUGAUGACCUUGUACAUUUCUGUCGGGGAGCUGGAUAAAGUUCAGGUCAUUGCUGAAGAACUAAAAAGGCAAAAUGUUUCUCCAGAUCUCUUCACCUACAAUCUCCGGGUCAGUGCAGCUGCUGCUUCCAUGGAUCUCGAGUGCUUCAAAGGAAUUCUCGACGAGAUGUCAAAGGAUCCAAAGUCCAAAGAAGGAUGGACACUGUACCGGAAACUUGCCUCUAUUUACGUUGACGCCAGUCAGCUUGUUGGCUCUGGAAAUUCACUGGUGGAAGCCGAGGCAAAGAUCAGCCAGAGGGAGUGGAUAACCUACGAUUUCCUCGUCCUUCUACAUGCCGGCCUGGGCAACCUAGAGAGGAUAAAGGACAUAUGGAAAUCGAUGCUUAUGACUUCUCAGCGGAUGACGAGCCGGAACUACAUCUGCGUGAUCUCCUCCUACCUGAUGUGCGAGCGGCUGAAGGACGCUGGGGAGAUCGUCGACCAGUGGCAGCGGUCCAAAGCUCCGGAGUUCGACAUCUCCGCCUGCAACAGGCUGUUCGACGCUCUUCUGAAUGCCGGCCUCACCGACACUGCAGAGAGUUUUAGAGAACUGAUGCUGCAAAAGAGUUGUAUACUGACAAGCAGGGCAACUGUUGCCGCGUGAUUACGAGUUUCUUUCUGACUUGAUCAUAUAUCGCCAGAGAGUUUUUGUUGUGUGAAGGAAUAAAUGAUGGACCCGCCAAGCAAUUUGCACGCUAUUUUUUUUGGCAAGGUACGUAUCUGAUUAUAUAUUUGCCAGGACCGUGGCACGAUGACACAUGAAGACUCUGUAUGGUCAUCGACAUUUUCUUGUGAUCUUCCUGGCCUAACUACCUUUGUUUAGUUUCACGUAGACGACAGGUACAGCGACUGCACGCUGGCGGAAGCCACACCACCUGUGGCCUGCUGAUCGCACACUGAUUGUCUCACGCUCCACGUUCUCGCCACGAGGAUGGUGAUGGUGCGAGUUGUUCCAUGAUUGUGCGUAACGAGACCGGUUGCAAGCGACAGAGGGAAUUUUCAAGUGUUUCGAGGCCUUUCAUGCGUUGUCAAUCAUCACCAUGCACACCUGCUCUGAUGACCCCCGAAACUUCAGAAUAUUCCCGGUGUCAUGCACUAGCACACUGCACACGCCUAAUAGCCGAGUCUUUGUUCGGUACAAAUACAAAAACGUGCCUUCCCUCCAUCAGAGUGAGUGACGCAGUGUCUCGCUAAAUUUUAGUCAAAAAGAUGCAUCCAGAAGGAAGCGAGAAACGAAGGGGAAACGGGUUUGGAGAGAGCCAACGCGCAGGGAUAGCAAGAAAGAGAUAGGCGGGCUAUCAGCCGAACCCCCUAGGAGGUUCGGAUGCUAAUUAGGAUGAUUAAAUAUGAGCUAAUUACAAAACUAAUAGUAGAAUCCCUAGGCUAAAUCGCGAGAUGAAUCUAUUAAGCCUAAUUAAUUCAUCAUUAGCGAAUGGUUACUGUAGCACCACAUUGUCAAAUCGUGGACUAAUUAGGUUUAAUAGAUUCGUCUCGCGAUUUAGCCUAGAGUUUGUGCAAUUAGUUUUGUAAUUAACUAAUAUUUAAUACUUCUAAUUAGUAUUCAAACAUUCGAUGUGACAGGGGCUAAAUUUUUGCCCAUAUGUGCCAAACAUGGGUGUUGGGAGGAAAUAUUAACGACCUCCUAAUGCCGCUUAAAGCAACAGUCAUGAAGGCCCAGGCCCACCUGCGGUAAUUGCGAUUACCGCCGACCCAGUAGAGGCAGAGAACAUCCCACUCCGUCUCGCCCGACCCAGGGUCCCGGGGUCGGACAAUCCCGACCCCUCGAUGGCGGGACUCCGCCUCGCCCGACCGCGGUCCCAGGGUCGGGAGCGCCCGACCCCUCGCCGCAAGGCUCCGCUUCGCCCGACCCCAGGCGUAGGGGGUCGGACUCAUCCCGGCCCACGAGACAAGUGUCCACCUCGGGCGCAGACCGACGGACAAGGGCGCGGAUCUUGUGGGCCCCCCAGCGGUCUCGCCAUAAAUGCACCGCGGCUCUGGCACGCAGAAAGGCGCCCGCGCCCCUCGAUGUGACCCGCCACAAGUACCCGAGCGGAACACUGUAGCCAUGACCGCACAGGCUACAGUGGCCACAGAUCCCCCUGAUUCGCAGCAGGGCACUCAUGGCUUGCGCCGCCCGGAGCAGGAGGAAGUCGCGCCCGUCCUCGCGCCCCACGCAUUCGGCGACAGGGACGCGAUGUCCGCCUUCCGCGGGCUGUCAGCAGAUGGCGGGAUCCGCCGCCUCCCCCAACGGACACAGGUGCCACGACAAAACACCAUCAUCGCGCAUGGCGGCGACAGCUGUCGAGGAGACCAUCGACGGGACGCGACGGCGGCCGUCCUCCUCCGGCAGACGUGCUGGCAGGAGCCGAAGACCGGCGAGGGCGCCGGUGGCCUGGGGACUUGGUCCCUCUCUUUGUGUUGUUUUCUACCUAGCUUUGUUUAUCUCUUUUACUUCUCCUGACAACCGGUCUCACCUGUAACCUCGGUGGCCUCCUUGCGCUAUUAAAGGAGAACCGGGAGCCUGAGAUGUGGGGGGGCUGCCAGGCAAAUAGAACACACCCGUACCCACUUAGAGCACGAGCGCACUCUCAAGAGACCUGGAACCGGUUCCCUCUCUCGCACUACUGUAACCCCUACUACAGAACCCCGCGUGGGUAACACAAGGAUCUCCCGAUACUGGACGUAGGGCCUUCCUUUGCCCGAACCAGUCUAACCCCGUGUCUCCCACACCACCAUCCGAAGCCUUACGCGCAUAAAAGAAAUUUACUAGUCUAAGUCUCGAUCCGCAAAUCUUGACAACGACAAUAGGAUUUGGUGAUCCGCACGCCGGUUUCUCGUGUCGUCAAAGCAGAAUCCCAUCGCGGCAGACCCGCAUUCGCAGUGUCCUUUCCCGGUUUCCCCAGUUACGUGCUCCAGUCAGUGUGUGCUUCUUGUAACCUUCUUGGCCUUUGUCCGAUUUCACGUAGACUGUGCGCAGCGAAUCCACGCUGUCGGAAAGGCAUCAUCGGCUCGGCAAAUCGGCUUGACUCGCGCUUCGCAUCCUCCCUCUUGUGAUCUUGUCCGGUUGUCCCCUCCCCGUGCAGUGACCAGUGAGACGGUUUUUUUCCAAGCUACAACUGACCGGAGCUUUUUUCAAGCAUUCCAGGCCUUUCUCCAGCUGCGUCACAUUGGCACCGUCACCAUAUACACCUCCUUGGUAAUGGUAACCUCCAAAACCUGUAGGAUAGGAUAUUGCCAAGGUCAAGCACUCGGCACACGCCCUGACAUCCUCCUUUGGUCCUGCGAAUGCAGUCAGUGCCUGCAGCUUCAACUCCAAGCCUGCACCACAUCAGUGGCCGCCUAAAAUUGUCAAAAGGAGCAGUCCAGGUGUAGAAAAAGGGGAAGAAAAGGCACGUUUGGAAAGAGCAAAGAGGCGAGCACCCAUCGGCAAGGAGAAAGAAAGAAGAGCUGGGCGUGGGCGAGCUCGGGCCGGGGAUUUUAGGCGAGCACACAGGGUUCCUCGUGUCGUCAAAGCAGAAUUGAGAAUCCCACCGCAGCAGACCUCGGUGGCACUAGUGGAGCCGUCUCCACCCAAUUCCGUGCUCCUGUGUGCUCCGCGAGGGGCGAUGGGGACGCGGGAGCUACUCCUCGUCCUCUGCCUCCUCGGCGCCGGCAUGGCCGUCUGCGACGCGCAGGCGCCGUCCCCGAAUUCGACUUCGUUCUCCUCGCCGCCGCCGGCGCCUCAGCCGCCGCCUCAGCAGCAGACGGCGUUCGGGCGGACCAUGUCGACGUUCAUCACGGUGGCCAUCAGCGUCUUCUUCUUCCUGCUCUUCAUCUGCGCGUACGUCAACCAGUGCCGCCUCGCGGACCCCGGCGCGCACGGGGAGGCCGCGGCGGCGGCCGCGGGGACCGGGGGCCCGUCCAGGAGGGGGAAGCGCGGGCUGGACCCCGCCGUGGUGGCCACGUUCCCCAUCGUCUCCUACAGGGAGGUGGUGGCGCACAAGAUUGGCAAGGGCGUGCUCGAGUGCGCCGUGUGCCUGACGGCGUUCGAGGACGACGACGACCUCCGCCUGCUGCCGCACUGCUCCCACGCCUUCCACCCGGAGUGCAUCGACCCCUGGCUGCAGUCGCGGGUCACCUGCCCGCUCUGCCGCGCCAACCUCGAGAAGCCGGCGCCGGCGGUGGCGGUGGCGAUGGCAGUGGCAGUGGCGCCCCCCUCGCCGCAGGAGCAGCGCCAGCCCUCGCCGCCGCAGGAGGCCGUGUCGAUACCCGUGGUGGACGAGGACUCCGAGGAGGAGGACAGCGACGAGGACGACAGGAAGGAGGAGGCCAUCGAGCUCGAGAUGCUGCGCAGCGCGCGUCGCGCGGUGAGGAUGCCGCGGUCGCACUCGACGGGCCACUCGCUCUCCGCGGCGGCGGCCGCCGCCGCGGAGGAGGGCGACCACGAGAGGUUCACGCUGCGGCUCCCGGAGCACGUGCGUGAGCAGGUGCUCCGGUCCCUACGCCUGCGGCACGCCACCAGCCUGAUCAACCUCUCCGACAUGAGCUCCGAGGGCAGCUCCCGAGGCGGACGCCGCCUAGGAGGAGGGGGAGGAAGCUUCGGCAACGGCGGCGGCGGCGGCGGGAGCAGCCACGGCGGGCGCCGGUGGCACUCGUUCCUGGUCCGGACGGUCUCGUGGGCGCGAGGCGGGGGCGACGGCUCCGUCCGGAAGGGGUGGGACGGGUCCACGAGGGGGGCAAGGGACGGCGGCGAGUCCAGCAGGAAGGGCUCGGCCACGCCGCCGCCGGCGGGACGGCCGUGAUUGCCCACCGCGGGACGGUCGGAAUGCUUGACCUGUAAAAUCCGACAAGUUUGUGCUUCUUCUUUUUUUUUUUCCUAAUCGUUUGUAUUUGUUUAUGUUUAGGAAUAUUUGGCGAUAGCGUGAUAGCGGCCUGAAUUUCGGAAACCUGUUGCUUUCGCGAUUUGCGUGGCCUGUAGAUUUUGUGGGAUUGAAAAAUUGACAAGGAGAGGGUAAAGAGUUCAAAGAACCAUGGAGGGUUCUCACUUCUCUUUGGACUGCCGUUCUUUACGGCCGAUAUCCUCCUAAACGAUAGCCUCUCUUUUUGUUAGUGGGAGAAGCAUUAUGCUGGGAGCGUCAGCUUUAAGCCAGAUCAUUUGCGCUGUUAACCAUUCUUUAUGAGGAUCUUUCCCAGCAAUGGGACUGCAAAAUCAUGCAGGUAUAGUGUGCUACAUGUGUCCCUCCUCUUUUUGUUUGGGUUCGUGUCAAUCUGACUUUGAAAGAUUCAUGCGGGGACAAAGAAAAGAAAAGAAAAUGCGAGCUUGGAGGGGGAAGGUCCGUGCAAUGAGUAGUGACGGGCAUAAAGAAACGGCAAGGAAAUAACAGAGGAUAAGAGAGGACUGACCAACUGAGGGCCCCGCGUCCGUCGCGCCAUUUUCAAAGGCGCCGCGUCGCGUAGUGGCUACGGCCCGGCCGCGCUUGACGUCGCCCCGACCUCCAGGACGGAUCGGGGUCUCUU